rnacentral:lncRNA from 1 species
AUGCCGCCCCCUAAGCCGGGAAGCACCUGCUGUGGGGCACAGGGCCAAGGAGACAGCAUUCCUGGACAGCUUUGUCUGAGCACCCUGCUUCCCCGGCCCCUCUCGUUUUCCCCUGUUGCCCUCGCGGUGCGUGCUCACCCCCUGGCCCCCUGCAGAGCCCCGCACUCAGCCAGCCCCAGGAACACAGCAGUGAAGACUUUGUCCUCAAAGGAGGCAGCUGAGCUAAUUAGCAGAGACUCCAUCCUCUCCUCAGCGAGGACAUUAUUUCAUUAUCUGAAGCUCAACACAGCCCCACGGUGUCCAGCCAACACGCUCAGGCAGCUGGCAACAGCAGAGCAAAUCAAUGGGCAGCAAGAGGCCAGCUCUGGCCCGGCCUCCCCACGGGGCCUGGGGCUCCGUCCCAUCUUUCUGGCAGAUGCCGGGGAAGACAAAAAAGCCAGUGUUGGAUGGGAAAGAUUACAGGCUGAGCAGCGAGGCACAAAGGGCCCACCGAGAACUCAUGCCUAUUGUCGCUUCUGGACGAAAUCGGCCAUCUCCAGGACAGAGACCGGCCCCGCGGCACGGCCACUGCCUACCUGCCCACGCUCAGCGCCGCCAGCUGCCGUAAGCCCAUCGGAUGAGCUUCUCGCCACCCCCACGCACGCAGGUGGCCUCCUGCCAGCCUCCUCUCGGGUGACCAUGUUGGUUCCCCCUCCUUUCUGCCUCCCCAGGCUUGGUGCCUCCUCUUUCAAGGGGCCUUCCUGGCUACUCCAUUCUGCUCUGCCUCCAGUCUCCGGAGCUCUUCUGGGCCCCACAAAAUCAAGCCCGUGGCCCUGUAGUGUCUGCCGUGCCCAGCUUUCCCUGUGGUGGCUCUGGUUCUUGACCUGCAGGUCCUGAUGUGGAAGGAAGAGAGAUCUGGCCUCCUCGCUGCCUCGCCAUCGUGGAGCGUGGUGUAGGGGCACACGGUAGGAGCUUGAGAAGCGGUGCUGACAGACCCCCAGGAAAUCCUUCCAAAGCCUCCAUGCACUGCAGUGGAGGAUAUUGGGGGGGGGGGUGGUCAGAGAGCAGGGCUGCGGUCAGCCCUAAAGUGAGAGUCUGUGUGCUCUUGGGUCAGUCCUUGGCAUCCUCUUGGCCUCAGUGUCCUGGUCUGUCAAGGCAGGGUUUGAGUUGAAAUGACCUCUGAGGUUCUGUUCACUUGCUGGGGCUGUGCUGAGCCGGACGCAGCUCAUGGCCCGACAGGCCGCGGGGGCAGGGAGGGAAGGCAGCAGAGGGCUCGGCUGGGGCCGGGCACGCCGGGCGGCACGGGGCCUGGUGCCCACGCGAGCAGGAGGACGCCCAGCCGCAGCUCGGCCGCUAGGGGACCAGCAGUGUAGCCGGUGAGCCACGCGGAGAACACGGUCUGGCGGAGGAGGGGCUGGGAGCGCACACACGCCACCUGUGCACACGCGAGUACACACACAGCGAUGUUAUGUCAGCCAGGAGUGGCCAAGCCUCACAGGCGUCGAGCUUCUCAAUCCGAGUGCCUUUCCAGGCGCUGCCACGCUUGCCUCGCCGCCCCCCCACCCGAGGAGGAACAGGGAACCCCUCACAGCCCCGUUGGAGAUGGGUUCCUGGAUCCUUCUCACUUCCAGAGUGUGAGAAGUCAUUGCCCGAUCCACGUCUUCCCCAAACUGUGCCAGGUGCUUGUCUUCAUGAGAGAUGAGACAAAGAAGGCAUGUGCUAUGGAGGAGCGGGCAACGUGCCCGGAGCGGAGAGAAAGUGGGAGCGAGAGGGAUGGGAGGAAGGACGGAGAAAGGGAAGGGGGAACAAAGGGAGGAAAAGAGGAUGGGAGGAGGGGAAAGAGGUAAGGAGGGAGGGGGAGGGGAGAGGGAAGGAGGGGAGGGGAAGUGGGGGGAAGGGGAGAGGGAAGGAGGGGGGAGGAGGAGGAGGAGGAGAGAGGGGAAGGAGGGGGGAAAGGGAAGGAGGGUGAGAGGGAAGGAGGGGAGGGAAGUGGGGGGAAGGGGAGAGGGAAGGAGGGGGGAGAAGGGAGGAGGGGAGAGGGAAGGAGGGAGGGGAAGUGGGGGGAAGGGGAGAGGGAUAGAGGGGGAAGGGAGAGGGAAGGAUGGGGAGAGGGGAAGAGGGGGGAGGGGGAGGGGAAGGGAGGGGGGAGGAAAGAGGGGGAGGGGAGAGGGGAAGGGAGAGGGGGAGGAAAGAGGGGGGAGGGGAGAGGGAAGGAGGGGGAGGGGAGGGGAAGAGGGAUGGAGGGGGAGGGAAAGGGGGAAGGAGGGGGAUGGAGGAGGGAGAGGGAUGGAGGGAAAGAGGGAAGAGGGGAAGAAGGGGGAGGGGGAGGGGAAAGA